rnacentral:tRNA from 1 species
UCCCAGGUGGCUCAGACAGUAGAGAAUCUGCCUGCAAUGUAGGAGAUCCGGGUUUGAUCCCUGGCUCGGGAA